UACGUAGGGACCGAGCGUUGUCCGGAAUCAUUGGGCGUAAAGAGCGUGUAGGCGGCCAACUAAGUCCUGCGUGAAAUCUCGGGGCUCAACCCCGAGCGGUCGUGGGAAACUGGUUGGCUAGAGUGCGGGAGAGGAGAGUGGAAUUCCUGGUGUAGCGGUGAAAUGCGCAGAUAUCAGGAAGAACACCCGUGGCGAAGGCGGCUCUCUGGACAGAUAUUGACGCUGAGGUGCGAAAGCGUGGGGAGCAAACAGG
rnacentral:rRNA from 1 species